GUGAAGAUGGCGUUAAUGGUAACGACCGCACAGCAUGUGAACCGAAUCCUUGUCCACAAGGCAUGGAAGUGUGUACAGAAACUGAGGAUGGCCGUUAUUCGUGUGGUCCACGCUUUGGCUUUUUCCAUACAGUUGGAGAUGUGGGGAAAUAAUUGCCAUAUUCCAUAAACAUCGCGCAGGAGAAAACCCAAUGACGUGAUGAUAUCCAUUAUUUAAGCAUACAUUUUUAAAUCUAGGCUUAUUUUCUAAAAAAUGUUGCAAGUUCUUUGUAAAGAGAUAUGCCUAUCUAUUAAAUAUACCUAUGAUUAACCCUG